rnacentral:rRNA from 1 species
AGCAGCCGCGGUAAUUCCAGCUCCAAUAGCGUAUAUUAAAGUUGUUGUGGUUAAAAAGCUCGUAGUUGAACCUGGGCCUCGCGCCGACCGGUCCGCCUCACCGCGUGCACUGGUGCGGCCGGGGCUUUCACUUGGGGAUUCGCAUGUCCUUCACUGGGCGUGCGCGGAACCAGGACUUUUACUGUGAAAAAAUUAGAGUGUUCAAAGCAGGCCUAUGCUCGAAUACAUUAGCAUGGAAUAAUAGAAUAGGACGUGUGGUUCUAUUUUGUUGGUUAUGGGACCGCCGUAAUGAUUAAUAGGGACAGUCGGGGGCAUCAGUAUUCAAUUGUCAGAGGUGAAAUUCUUGGAUUUAUUGAAGACUAACUACUGCGAAAGCAUUUGCCAAGGAUGUUUUCAUUAAUCAGGAACGAAAGUUAGGGGAUCGAAGACGAUCAGAUACCGUCGUAGUCUUAACCAUAAACUAUGCCGACUAGGGAUCGGACGAUGUUACUUUUUGACUCG